rnacentral:rRNA from 4 species
GACUAAGCGUACACGGUGGAUGCCCUGGCAGUCAGAGGCGAUGAAGGACGUGCUAAUCUGCGAAAAGCGUCGGUAAGGUGAUAUGAACCGUUAUAACCGGCGAUGUCCGAAUGGGGAAACCCAGUGUGAUUCGUCACACUAUCGUUAACUGAAUACAUAGGUUAACGAGGCGAACCGGGGGAACUGAAACAUCUAAGUACCCCGAGGAAAAGAAAUCAACCGA